rnacentral:rRNA from 1 species
ACGCUGGCGGCAGGCUUAACACAUGCANGUCGAGCGGGCGUAGCAAUACGUCAGCGGCAGACGGGUGAGUAACGCGUGGGAACGUACCUUUUGGUUCGGAACAACACAGGGAAACUUGUGCUAAUACCGGAUAAGCCCUUACGGGGAAAGAUUUAUCGCCGAAAGAUCGGCCCGCGUCUGAUUAGCUAGUUGGUAGGGUAAUGGCCUACCAAGGCGACGAUCAGUAGCUGGUCUGAGAGGAUGAUCAGCCACAUUGGGACUGAGACACGGCCCAAACUCCUACGGGAGGCAGCAGUGGGGAAUAUUGGACAAUGGGGGCAACCCUGAUCCAGCCAUGCCGCGUGAGUGAUGAAGGCCCUAGGGUUGUAAAGCUCUUUUGUGCGGGAAGAUAAUGACGGUACCGCAAGAAUAAGCCCCGGCUAACUUCGUGCCAGCAGCCGCGGUAAUACGAAGGGGGCUAGCGUUGCUCGGAAUCACUGGGCGUAAAGGGUGCGUAGGCGGGUUUUUAAGUCAGGGGUGAAAUCCUGGAGCUCAACUCCAGAACUGCCUUUGAUACUGAAGAUCUUGAGUCCGGGAGAGGUGAGUGGAACUGCGAGUGUAGAGGUGAAAUUCGUAGAUAUUCGCAAGAACACCAGUGGCGAA